AGUCUGAUAGCUCAGUGGUAGAGUUGUUCUCUGAUACGGAACAGGUCGAAGACGGUCGGCCGCCGCCGUUCGAGUCCUUCUCAGACUACAA
rnacentral:tRNA from 1 species